UCAAAUAUAUUGUUCUUCAUAAAAUACCCCCUAACAAGGAUUUUCUUAGUAGCGGCGAGCGAAAAGAAAUCAGUUCAGCACUAAGUCACUUUGUCUAUAUGGCAAAUGUGAGAUGCAGUGUAUGGAGCGUCAAUAUUCUAGUAUGAUAAAUUAACGAUUUAAGUCCUUCUUAAAUGAGGCCAUUUACCCAUAGAGGGUGCCAGGCCCGUAUUACGAUAAUGAUUACUAGAUGAUGUUUCGAAAGAGUCGUGAUGCUUGAUAGUGCAGCACUAAGUAGGUAGUAAACUCCUUCUAAAACUAAAUAUAACCAUGAGACCGAUAGUAAACAAGUACCGUGAGGGAAAGUUGAAAAGAACUUUAAAUAGAGAGUUAAAUAGUACGUGAAACUGCUUAAAGGUUAAGCCCGAUGAACCUGAAUAUCCGUUAUGGAAAAUUCAUCAUUAAAGUUAUAAUAUUUAAACAAUAUUAUACAAAUAAUGUGCAUUUUUUCCAUAUAAGGACAUUGUAGUCUAUUAAUAUAUUAAAUUUAUCAUAAAAUAUGGCUUAUAGUUUAUUCAAAUUAUAAUGAUUGCAUUUUAACAUAGAAUAAAUGUCAUUAAUUUGAAAAAGUGUUGAUGCACUAAUAAGAAUACAGUGCGUUAAUUUUUCGCAAUUAUAUAAUGGCAUAAUUAUCAUUGAUUUUUGUGUUUAUUAUAAGCACUUGUAUGAUUAACAAUGCGAAAAAUUCAGGAUACCUUCGGGACCCGUCUUGAAACACGGACCAAGGAGUCUAACAUAUGUGCAAGUUAUUGGGAUAUAAACCUAAUUAACUAUUUUAUAGCUGAUUAAGACAAUCCCGGGGCGUUCUAUAUAGUUAUGUAUAAUAAUAUUAAUAUUAUUUAUGCCUCUAACUGGAACGUACCUUGAGCAGAUAUGCUGUGACCCGAAAGAUGGUGAACUAUACUUGAUCAGGUUGAAGUCAGGGGAAACCCUGAUGGCCAAAGACCAAUCGAACCAUCUAGUAGCUGGUUCCUUCCGAAGUUUCCCUCAGAAUAGCUGGUGCAUUUUAAUGUUAUAUAAAAUAAUCUUAUCUGGUAAAGGGAAUGAUUAGAGGCCUUAGGGUCGAAACGAUCUUAACCUAUUCUCAAACUUUAAAUGGGUAAGAACCUUAGCUUUCUUGAUAUAAAGUUUAAGGUUAUGAUACAAUGUGCCCAGUGGGCCACUUUUGGUAAGCAGAACUGGCGCUGUGGGAUGAACCAAACGUAAUGUUACGGUGCCCAAAUUAACAACUCAUGCAGAAACCACGAAAAGCGUUGGUUGCUUAAAACAGCAGGACGGUGACAUGGAAGUCGAAAUCCGUUAAGGAGUGUUUAACAACUCACCUGCCGAAGCAACUAGCCCUUAUGGAUGGCGCUUAAGUUGUAUACAUAGGUAUACAGUGCGUAAAUGUAUAGACAUUACCGCUAAAGUAGAUUUAUAUUACUUGUAAUAUAAAUUUUGAAACUUUAGUGAGUAGGAAGGUACAAUGGUAUUGCGUAGAAGUGUUUGGCGUAAGCCUGCAUGGAGCUGCUAUUGGUACAGAUCUUGGUGGUAGUAGAAAAUAAUCGAAUGAGACCUUGGAGGACUGAAGUGGAGAAGGGUUUGAAGAGUUAGUCGGUCCUAAGUUCAAGGCGAAAGCCGAAAAUUUUCAAGUAAAAAUAAAAUUUACUAUAUGUAAAAAUUAUAUACUUUAAUAAUUUUGAACGAAAGGGAAUACGGUUCCAAUUCCGAACCUGUUGAGUAUACGUUUGUUAUUAAAUGUGGGCCUCGUGCUCAUCCUGGCAACAGGAACGACCAUAAAGAAGCCGUCGAUAGAUAUCGGAAGAGUUUUCUUUUCUGUUUUAUAGUCGUACUACCAUGGAAGUCUUUCGCAGAGAGAUAUGGUAGAUGGGCUAGAAGAGCAUGACAUAUACUGUUGUGUCGAUAUUUUCUCCUCGGACCUUGAAAAUUUAUGGUGGGGAUAUGCAAACUUCUCAACAGGCCGUACCAAUAUCCGCAGCUGAUCUCCAAGGUGAAGAGUCUCUAGUCGAUAGAAUAAUGUAGGUAAGGGAAGUCGGCAAAUUAGAUCCGUAACUUCGGGAUAAGGAUUGGCUAUGAAGAUUGAGAUAGUCGGGCUUGAUUGGGAAACAAUAAUAUGGUUUAUGUGCUGGGUAAAUAAUAUGGUCUAUCUGGGUAAAUAGAGUUUCGAUCAUUUAUGGUUGUAACUUGUUCCCCGGAUAGUUAGUUACGUAUCCAAUUGUGGAACUUUCUUCCUAAAAUUUUUAAGAAUACUAGUUUGGUCAAACCAAUUAGUUCUUAUUAAUUAUAACGAUUAUCAAUUAACAAUCAAUUCAGAACUGGCACGGAAUUGGGGCACGACUGUCUAAUUAAAACAAAGCAUUGUGAUGGCCCUAGCGGGUGUUGACACAAUGUGAUUUCUGCCCAGUGCUCUGAAUGUCAAAGUGAAGAAAUUCAAGUAAGCGCGGGUCAACGGCGGGAGUAACUAUGUCUCUCUUAAGGAGAAUAUCGUAACUCGUAAGCCAUGCAAUCAAAUCAAGUCGACUCAACCUCCUCGUGGUAUUCUCUGGGUGCCAGUAUUUACUGGUAGCUGAUUUGAGCGGCGAAAGGAUCCUUGGGGUUGCCAGCCCCUCGGAACCUUAAACAAAUUUGUGCAAAUCAAGAUAACGAGCCUUGGAACCUUAAUCGUAUUGGAAGAGGAGAGGAGGCUUCUAGCCUGGAAAGCACACAAAUUGGAACCAGUGCAGAGGUUAUCCUUUCAGGGAGGGUGCCCUUUACGAUAUGUGGAAUGACGUUCAACUCCAAGAGGGGUUAGGGCGUCCACAUGUCACAUCGGCACAAAGACGAACUUGAUGCACAACGUCUUCGUGUCGAUAAAAAGGCAAGGUGGUCAGAGGAAGAAAACUUGAUGAUGGCGAAAAAGGAGGUUGAGCUUGCAGCAAGUAGUGUUUAAUUUCUUAAUAAGAAGCUAGCGGAGAUUUUCACCCACCGCAGUGCCGAUGCGAUUUCUUCCCGCAAGAGGAAGAGGAGUGAGUACAAGGCAAAACUACAGCAGAUAAGGGGGCAAUCCGUUCCCACCCCAGAAGCAGAAGAAAUGAACACCACACAGCGCCGCUCUAGUAUAAGCGAGCUAAACCGACGAGUAUCAAGAUCAGAAGGGGGACCAAUCAGACCACACGAACAGACGAACAGCGAAAUCCUUAGGGUACUACAGGGGCUACCCCCUGUAAUAUGCUUACCCCGGUGGAAAGCCGAGGUCCUGCAAAAUAUCGUAGAUGCUGCGCAAGUCUCGGGACAGGAAACCACUCUUCAAAGUUUAUCUAGUUAUCUCAUUGAAAUUUUU
rnacentral:rRNA from 1 species